ACGCUCGACACCUACGGGAGUCAGCAGUGGGGAAUAUUGGGCAAUGGGCGCAAGCCUGACCCAGCAACGCCGCGUGAAGGAAGAAGGCCCUCGGGUUGUAAACUUCUUUUGUCAGGGACGAAGCAAGUGACGGUACCUGACGAAUAAGCCACGGCUAACUACGUGCCAGCAGCCGUGGUAAUCUGAGCGGGCUGGCAAGGC
rnacentral:rRNA from 1 species